rnacentral:rRNA from 1 species
GACGAACGCUGGCGGCGUGCUUAACACAUGCAAGUCGAGCGAUGAAGUUCCUUCGGUGGAUUUGAUCUAUUUCUAGUGGCGGACGGGUGAGUAACGCGUGGGUAACCUGCCUUAUACAGGGGGAUAACAGUCAGAAAUGGCUGCUAAUACCGCAUAAGCGCACAGAGCUGCAUGGCUCAGUGUGAAAAACUCCGGUGGUAUAAGAUGGGCCCGCGUUGGAUUAGCUUGUUGGUGGGGUAACGGCCCACCAAGGCGACGAUCCAUAGCCGGCCUGAGAGGGUGAACGGCCACAUUGGGACUGAGACACGGCCCAGACUCCUACGGGAGGCAGCAGUGGGGAAUAUUGCACAAUGGGGGAAACCCUGAUGCAGCGACGCCGCGUGAAGGAAGAAGUAUCUCGGUAUGUAAACUUCUAUCAGCAGGGAAGAUAGUGACGGUACCUGACUAAGAAGCCCCGGCUAACUACGUGCCAGCCGCCGCAGUAA